AGUAGCUCAGCCGGAUAGAGCAACGGCCUUCUAAGCCGUGGGCCGGGGGUUCGAAUCCCUCCUG
rnacentral:tRNA from 1 species